UUGGCUCCUAGAGAGCGACUCUCACUCUCACUCUCUCUCUCUCUCUCUCUCUCAAGAGAGAGAGAGAGAGAGAGGGGCACAGAAAACUUGAACGUAUUUUUCUUGCUUUUCCCUAUCUUUCAACGCCGAAGCAUCAUCAUGUCCCCGCCCACCCUCUUUCUCCUCCAUCCCCAUCAUGAUUUUUCCUUUCGCAGCUUCCCCUAUAUCGUGCGCACAACCCGCAACCGCAGCCCCUGUCUCCCCGCGAAAUCAUCACCGCCAUCAUUACCAGCAGCGACUAAAGGAGAAAUAGAGGGGGUCAAUGAAGGGGAAACCGAAAAAGGGAGGUCAAAGUUUAAGCAAAGCUUAAAGAGGGAAGGGCGUUGAUAGCUUUUGAACGGGGAACAGAAACCCUCGCCCUCCACAGAAACAGGUGCUCUCGAGAGCUGCUUCAUUUCUCUGCUCUCUCUCUUUGGGGAAUCAAGCGUCUUGGUCCGACUGUUACCGCUUUUGUUGAUAGAUCUGUAACGCCAUCAAUCACUGUAUGCAAACGUAUACAUGCCCUUAGGGUAGCUGUAGAUGUUUGUGCUUUGUGCAUGGGUUUUCUUCUGCUCGGUUUGACCUAAUAAACUGCCACCAUGUGUUCUCUUGUUUUUCAUCGUUUCCUCCCCCUCCUUGUGGAGGGCUCUAGGGUUUGCAGUAGUAACAAGUUCCGGUGUAUUAUACUAGGUCAAGGAUCUGUCUGCCACGAGAGAUCACUUGGGAUGUCUGCUCUUGAAUGGAUUAUGUAAAGUAAACUUCUCUUCAUGCUUUGUAUUGUAGUUUCCUUUUGUCCAGACGAGAUCUGAGUGUGAAUGAGAUGGGAAAAUGAAAGACACAUCCGAUGGUCGAGAGACGGGAGAGCGAUUAUCGAUCCUUUGUUUCUCCGUUGACGAUACGGGAAUCCCGCUUUAGGUUGGUAAGUCGUGAGCUCACACGGUGCGUCACUAAUUUCAUGAAUCAAAUAAGGCCUGUUGCCAAAAAAAUAAGAAAUCACUAAUUAAUAAUUUGACUCGAUCGCUAAUCCUGUAUCCAAGAAAUAUUCGGACGAUUUUAUAGCCUUGAAAUUUUUGGAGCAAGUGGCUAUGCCUUAAACAUAGGUAGAAGAAGAGAGAUUUUCUGAUGAGCUCGUGUCUUUUAUUGGGUGGAUUAGCUCAGGACAGAAGUUGAUUUUGCUUGCACACUCUAUAAGUAACAAUUAGACAUAUAUCUUGUUUUGCAAUAUCAUGAUUGCAAAUGACAAAUAUCUAAGUGGAACAUGUAUAUAGUAUAUUAAGAAAUGCACACACAUUUGUGUGCAAACAAUGCAAAAGAAAUUAGGUUUGUGAGGAUAGGAAAGCUGUCGGUUUGGUGGUUAAGCAAUGAGUUUAAUGUGCGUGGAUAUUAGACGUGCAACACAAGUUCAAUUCCCUAUGUCUCUAAGUUUAAACUAACUUUAUAUUUGGGCCACCCACCCAGCAAUUUGGUUUGCGUGUUUACCGAUUUACAAGAUUAGAAGGGUAUUUCAUAUUUUCAUGAACUCGGGUUUUCUCGAGUGCAACGCAUCAUUUGAAUGUUACUUUUUUCAAGAUAUACCUUAGAAGAAAAUUAGAUAGAGUGAACCCAUAUCAUUCGUUCAAAACCAAAUUUCCUUCUUGUUGUUCGACUUCUUUUUUUUUUUUUUUGGUUUCGUAAAUCACAAAUUGUAAUUGAUUGUACUAAACAAAGUUUGACGACAAUGCACAUAAAAUUACCUAGUCUUUUAAGGGAGGGAAAUUAUAAAACGAAGUCCUAAAUUUAUUGUGGCAAAAUCAAUUCUAAAUUUUUCAAUUUGGUCAAUUUAAUCAUAAACAUUUUGACAUUGUUAUUAAUAUAGUUCUUCCAAUUAAUUUUGGCCAAAAAUCAAUGACUUGGAUACAUAUCAUCCUACGAUAUGGACAGCCAACGCUAAUGUGAAAUAAUUUUCAUAAUUUUUUAUUUAUUUUUUUCUGAUUUUUUUUUCUUUCUUUUCUUUUUCCUUUUCAACUCUAGGCUAGAGAGAGUCAUCGGCCAAGCCUCACCGACCACUGGGCAAUGAGAGCAAAAAUUUUGAAAAAAUAAAGAAAAAUAAAUAAUUUAGAAAAAUUAGAAAAAUUGUAAAAAUUAUAAAAAUUAUCAACGUCAAUGCUGACUGCCAUACACAUAAGAUGAACGAUAUCCAUGCCAUUGAAUCUUGGCCAAAAUUAAUUGAAAGGACUUCAUCACCAAAUCAUCAAAAGAUUUAGGACUAAAUUGAUCAAAUUGAAAGGUUUAUGAUUGAAUUAGUUGUUGUGUAAUAUGAUUAUGAAUUUUUUUAGUAAUUAUCUAUUUGUGGGAUGGCACCAGAAUUGGGCUCCUUCGAGGAACCAGCAAAAGGUUAAAGAAGAAGCACUUCGAUCCCAAGUACUGCGCAAGAUUUUUCUUGGAUUAUUAACUCAUGGAUAGGUUACAGAAAAUCCUUGAUUGACGUUUUGUCUUCAACCUUUUGCAACUUGAUUGCUCGAUCAUAAAGUCAAG
rnacentral:lncRNA from 1 species